rnacentral:lncRNA from 1 species
AAUAGAAGCUACAUCAUCAGUUCAUUCAAAACCUAAAAACUGCAUCCCAAAGACAACUCAUCAACUUAUCCUUGCUACAUUAUCUUUUAGGAAAUCCACAUCCAGUAAAAACUGUAGUAAUUUCUCACUAUUCAGUUAUUGCACAGAAAUGAUAGACAAAAAGCUAUAAUCAAAAUGCAACAUCAUGUAGCAGUAACAUAAGGAUGUGAUAUGACCUU